UACGUAGGGGGCUAGCGUUGUCCGGAAUCAUUGGGCGUAAAGAGCGUGUAGGCGGUCCGGUAAGUCCGCUGUGAAAGUCGGGGGCUCAACCCUCGAAUGCCGGUGGAUACUGUCGGGCUAGAGUGCGGAAGAGGCGAGUGGAAUUCCUGGUGUAGCGGUGAAAUGCGCAGAUAUCGGGAGGAACACCAAUUGCGAAGGCAGCUUGCUGGGACGGUACUGACGCUGAGGCGCGAAAGCGUGGGGAGCAAACAGG
rnacentral:rRNA from 1 species